GUGGUGGAGUUUUGAGGAUAGAGUUUCAAAUUUAGAAAAAAUAAAAAUUAAAAAUUUUAAAAUAAAAAUUAAAAAUUUUCUAAAGCUAUUUGGAAAGUGUUUAUAAAAUAUUUUUCCGCUGAUUUUAAAGUAAAUAAAUUAAUUUUAAUUUAAUUAUUUAUAUGUGUAUGAGCACGGGAAAAGCAUCUAGCAAACAAUUAUUUGGUAAAACUAGUUUUUUUUAUAAUUUAAGAAAUCCGCUAAAAAAGAAUCUUGAUUAGC
rnacentral:lncRNA from 1 species